rfam:Bombyx mori DNA, contig: Bm_scaf29_contig18506, strain: p50T/Dazao, build 2, whole genome shotgun sequence.
UUAACUCAAGUUUGUAUCGAGUUGGAACGUUGGCCUACGUUUGCCGCUAGGAGCGCUGUUCCAAAUGCAUACAAAUUUGAUUUA